AUGAAAUGAAGACCAAUUGUACAUGAGCAGGAAACUGCCUAGGAAUAGUCUACAGCACGUUACCCAAGAGUAAAGCGUUAUUUUAAGUAGAGAUGCAAUCCAGCAGCAAUGUGCCUUACAUAGAACAACUGGCAGGAACCUCCCUAAGCUGCGAACCCUGAAGAAAGCUUGAAUAGACGUGACCGUUUUUUCCCCACAGAGUGCCUUGUUCAUUAAGGCAUCGGCAGAAGAGUCUGUAUCCUUUACGCAAUUACUCAGCAAGUGCUUUUAAAGACGCUGUAAUAGACUCAGGAAAGUCAUCUUCUCUCAGCAGAGGAAAUUCAAGACUGUUCUCUUGACCACCAGGCUGGUCUAGAACUAGAGACACUCACUCCUGCUGUGUUGGCCACUGAGUUUGGCCACUUCAGUAAAAGAUCAGUUUUUGACUGAAGAAGAAAUGAAUUACGAACUGGACAAAGAAAAAGAGGAACAAAAAUAUCAUUAUCAGCAUCAAAUACCCUAAGGCUGAUUUGUUAAAGCACUGCCACCUUCAUUCAUUUCAAAAGCGCACGAACAAAAGGUAACAGCUACGCAUGACAAGUGGAUGAAUUUACACAGACAUCAACGCUGCACAGAAGAACUACAGGAGAGGUAUUUGCGGCUGCAGUUCAGAACAACCCAGUACUCAGCAUCAUUGUAACUAACAGUGGUAAAAGCCACUCCAGGACCUGCUAGGAAGAUAUUGAAAGGAAGGCAAGAUUCUCAAGACUAAGGCAGCUCCACCAAAGAUACGAAAAGACUGAAAAGAAAUCCAGCAACCUGAAAAAGAAACUCAACUUUUUUCAUUACUGAUUAAAACAACUUCAUUUCGGAAGAGCUGUCUCCACACCACCUGAAUGUUCCAAAAGAGCAAAACUCCACAACACAACACAAGACAACGCAACGCAACACUUUCAUGAAUUCUAUUUGGUAAAAGGUAACGCUUUUCACAGCAUGCAGUAACUCACUCAACUUUUAAUAUUGCACUUACCCUCAGCAGGCAGUUUCACAAUUCGUAUUGAAGAGAUUUAACUGCAGCAAUGAUAUCAGACAACUGUUUCAGCCAGAAUUACUUUAUCAACACUUGACUUACAUCCUUUGCACUACUAACACUCUAACAACUGCAGGGGAACAGGUCAUGGCUUGCACUGGUGAUUGAGCACCUGGUGAAGGGGUGUGGCUGGCCCAGGGAGCACAGGCAGACUGUUUGCACCUGUGCUCCCCAGCGCACCAGAAGGGGUGGACACAGGUGGAGCCCCCUGAGCUCAUAUAAGGGCCAGCCAUUGAAGGGAGAGCAUGGCUUGGAUCUGGGCUGCUUCUGAGGAGGGGUACUGCACAGCCAUAAUCUGCUUCACCAGCUGGGUGAGUGCUAUUCUUCUUUCUGAGCAGGACUAUUGGUCUACCUACAAAUGCUUUGGUAUCACCAAAAACCUGACAAAAAAGAUUUUUUUUUUCUUUGUGAGUAGAAUAACAGCUUAGCCUUUGUAAUUAAGUUUUACAUGCAGACAAUGCAAAUUUACCAGUUACCACAGCGUUAAAAUAGUAAACAAGUCUUUAGGAUGCUUUUGAAAAAGUUUUUGUGAUGAAAAAUGGUCUUGGAAAUUAAAGAAAAAACACUUGCAGUAGAACUAUCAACAGGCUUGCAGGACUUUGUGGAAGAAUCUGUGAUUUUCACAAAUUACUGAUACAUGACAGUAUGAUAUGACAUGUACCGUUGGGAAGCAACAAGCUCUAUUAGGAGUUUUUUGUUAAGGAACAAAUUAUUAAAACUGUUUCCUUCCACAAGAAAAGCCACUAAGGCAACAACAAAAAAUUACCAAAAGUAACUGUAAUACAUACCAACUCAGCACAGAGUAGCUGCAGCUUUGUUUAAGCCAGCUAACAAGGGUAAAAAAAGAUAUGACAAUACUACAGGUCCUAUGAAUGCAGCACAGGGGUAAGUCUCUGGGGAGUGGGGAAGACCAGAGAAAACAACCCCAGCAAUGGCAGCAGGAAAGAACCCCCUGCUGCCAUCACUGCCCUCAACUCUCACAUGCUCAUGAACAACCAUUUCUGUCGCUCCCUGUGCAAUAGCUCCUAAGGCUUCAUAAUGGGGAAAAUAUCAGAGAGGAUGAAGGAUAGAGGAGGCUGGAAGGAGAUACGUGGUAUCUGUUUUAUUUAGCAUAUUUUUCCACUUGAUACACAUGUGAGAGAAAUGAUAAGGUUCUCUAAUUUUCAAUAGCCUUUUCUAGAUGUAAGUACAACACUGACACAGACUGACCAGAGCUGGACAAUGUUGUCACCCUUCUUGCUUUUGUUACUUUUGAAUCCUUGUCUGCUAGAAAUUAGCUACUAAGCUGUAAUAAACUGCAGGAAACAGAAUGGGGACUUGGGUCUGUGCUAACACAACUUUAAGCAAAACAGCUCUCCAAUGUCUUUGUAUCUACAACCAUGACAGAACACUGACACCAUGCAACAGUACCAGAACAUUUCAGAAGAGGUCAGAUAUAAUAGUUAGAACAAUACAUGAUUACCUUAAUAAUCCAACAUCAGAGUGUAACUGUCAUCUGACAGGAAAAGUCCUUCAAUUUACCACUUGCCCUACUCAAAAUCAGUAUAUUUUUAGCAGCAAUGACUUCAGUUCUUCAAUACUUGGUAACAUUUACUUAAGUAAAUAUAAUGGUUUUCCUACUGUGUAUAAUAAUCCCCUCACCAGACUCACAAUAACAUUUUCAUAUUAAAACUUUCAACUUACACUCUGAUGUCUGCAAGAGAAAGACCAGAAUCAAUGGAGGUUCAAUCAUCUUUCUGACUACAGUAUCUUACAUGCAUAAGAUGAAACUAGAAAUACAGUGACACACAAAAAUCUCUUUCUGUGACUAAAAAAAUUUCACCCCUAUUUUCACAGUAGCUCUGGAAUUCCUAGCCUUCCCCUCACGCCUCUUCUUUCCCUCCCUGGUAUUUAAAACUAGGUACUUACUACUUCUUCCUGCUACGUGCCUUUUGAAAAUAAGACGCCAUUUUGAAUGAAUACUGUUUUUAGGUGAUUACAUUGCUCUCAGAGGACCAAGAAGAAACACUAAUCCUUUGCUAAUCUGAAUAGCUACUGUAACAGGUAGUUACAGCACAACUUUAUCCAGUAGCACUCUAACCUUGUAGACAUUCCUAAAGAUGGAAAGCAUUCUAAGUGUGUACUCAUUACCUGUGACAGCCAAUUAUGAUAGAGAAAUAGUUUGAAUCUUUAGGAGGAUUUACUUAAUAAUACGACGCUACUUUAAGUUAAGUUUCCUGAAAAUUAACACAAGUUAGUUAUACUCCAUGUAGAAAUACAGUAAAUUUGACUACUCAUCGCUCUGCUGUUGUUUCUACACCAUCUUAAAUCUUUGUCAGUAAUAAAGACAUAUUGAUAACCUUUUUCAUAAAACUGACCUGCUUCAGCUGUAAAUCAGCAUAUGUCAUCUUCCAGCUAUUGCACAGAAUGGUGUAAAGUCCCAUAAUGCCAGCAUCCGUAAGUCUUUAUUCUUAGGGCUAAAAUACAAGUGGAACAUCUCUCGCUCUGCUAUGUCUCUGUAACAAGUUCUAGAUAUUACCAGCAGGAUCCUCAGUAUGAGCAGAUGUUAAAAAGAAGCUGUGAGGAACACUGUGUCAAUUCUUAUCUACUUAAAAGUUCAGUAAUAAAACUACUAGUGAACAUACCAGAACAGACUACUUGAUUAUUUCUACAAUCUUUUGCUUCAUUUAUUGAGUGAGAUAUUUCCACUUUUCUACUGCUUAGAUGGUGAUCUAGUUUAUUUCAUGCCUGGGACUUAUCUUCAGCACUAUUCCUCAUACUAUUUGCCUGAGUUAGAUUUAACUCUGUCCCAGUUUGACAGUUUCUUUUCUCCUUCAGUGGCUGAAAGACAUUUUAAGAAGUAAUAGAAAUGUUAGUGGCCACAGAGAUAAGACUAAUAGAGCAUGAAGAUGUUCAAUAAAGAGCACAAAGAAAUCACAUCUUUUCAGGGGAUGGGGAGUGGAAGGGGAAGAAACCCCUUUAUUAAAAAAUCCAGACACUGAAGGAGAGGCAAAGGAGCGUAUGUUCAUAAUUCCACAAAUAUAAAUAAAUAAAAAUGACUGAAGAAGCAACAGACUGGCUUUACAGCUGAAAUAAUGUCAGUGGCUUGAGGAACUGGAGAAAUAAGGCGUUCACAGAUACUGAUAAUCAAGACAUCAUGAGACUCACUCUUGAAAAAACAAAGCAUCUUAAAAUCAACUGUAUGAACCAUUACCUAUAAAAGUUAGCUGAGCUGUCUCAUGCAUUCCUGUAAAUCAACAGGUGUUCCCUGUACCGUGGUUUGCCUUACUAAAAAAAAUAGCAGGAUGUUGUAAUACACAGGAAGUUUGAAACAAUUUACAUCAACUCAUUACUCCACGGGAGAAUAAUAUUUUGAAUUAAAAACUGAGAGCAAUGGCGUCAAGACAUGAAAAGAGAGCAGACUCGAAAUUACAAAAAUCUGUCAGUUCCUUUUCCACAUUAUUUUUAAUAAUCUUUUGAGAGAUUCACAUCUGGUAAGCUUUGCUUUUUUGUUGUUUUUUUGUUUUGUUUUGUUUUUGAAUCACUGUUCAUGUCUUUCUCUGAUGCUGAGUCAGAGAAACACCGGCAGAAGGACCCUUCAUUGCAAGUCAUAUGAAUUCCUUAAAAUGGCUUGGCUUUUUGAUUACCUGAAGAUGAAAUUUCUUAAGUAGUAUCAAGUAAAUUCCUUAGUAUCACUUACCUCUUUGUUCUAUUAGAGCAAAAAUCCUCCCUGAAGUACAUUAAUUUGAGUAUCACCCACUGAGAUGAAAAUCAUAUGUCAACUUAGGCGCAAUACACCAGUUCUGUAUUCUGCUAUCCUCCACACACACCCAAGGGCAUAAGCUUAUAUUCUUGUUUCAGAACUUAUAUUGUUUCCAAGGAUGGUUUAGCUAGUGAUUUUUCUGUUCCUCUGUUUUUAUAAGAAAUUUCUUAGCAGAGAAAAGCUGAUUAAACAGGUAGCAAAGUAUAAAGGUUUGCUGGUUUGGAUGUAUUAUAUGUUAUCAAUAAAUAUGUAAAUUCAUUUUUCGGCUCAAUGGAGUUUUAUAAGUUAUUGCGUUCCCGACCAGAGGACCAGGAGGAACAGAUGAGAAGAGCACAGAGCUAUGUGUGGGUAUGAUUCCUCAGUCCCACAGACAGUGGUUCCAUUCCUCCACCAUAUGAAUGGCAACCCAGCUGUAGUAGCUGUGUGAGAUACUGCUCCACACUGAGUGCACCUUUACCCCUGCAGAGGAGGAGACACUGCACGUACUGACAGGUUUUUUCCCUU
rnacentral:lncRNA from 1 species